GGGGCUGUAGUCUAGCUUGGUAUGAUACGUGCCCGGGGCGCACGUGGUCGGGAGUUCAAAUCUUCCCAGCCCCA
rnacentral:tRNA from 1 species